GGGCGAUUUUCCCCAUAAUACUCACCAUAUGGUGGUUGCAAUCUCUGUGAGCAAUUAUACUCUAAAGCAUGGAUCUACAUGAUUGAUCAUUGUUGGUGGGAGGAUAAAAUUGCUACCACAUGUAUGUGUCAUGUUUCUUGGUUUGUUAUUCUUUUUUGACAAGUGAUCUAUAGGCUAAUUGAAAACUUAAGUUGGUUAUCUUUGGACUAGUUUGGAUUCCACAGUAUCUUAAUCUUGUGAAUAUGAAUGGUCAUGGGAACUAAGUUUAUUAGAUAAUGCUGUUGUGCAUGCCCCUGUUGCUGUUGCUGAUCGGUAGCUUCAAAUUUUUUUAAUUGUUUUGUGAUUAUUAUAAUAGUAAUAAUUUUAGGAAUUGUUUAUCUCUAGUUUAUCCAGUGUUCCUUAUGUUGAUUGCUUUCAGAUUUUCAUUAAUGUGUCAUGGUAUUUCAGCAUGUUGUAUUCAGGGUUCAGCUCAUUUGUGAUCUCUAUGGAAGGAAAUGCUUCAGAAACACUUUACAAAGUAAGUUUAAUACAUUAAUGAUAUUCAUACCAACUCUUGUUUAUUAAAGGAAUUCAACUUGGUUUGUUUGUUAGAUAUAUGUGGCUGCAAUGCUGGUUUUGCUCUAAGUGUUGAUCAAUUUUUUCAGAUGCUCAUUUUCAUGCCAUGAAUAGGUAUUACAUUAAUCAUGGAAGAUUAAGAAUGGUCUCCCGAAAUCAUCUUAUGAGUUAACUGUUAAAGGAGGAGACAAAGUUAAGCAUACAAAUGAAAGGAAUCGA
rnacentral:lncRNA from 1 species